AAGACUAUACUUUUAAGGAUCAUUUCUAUAGUCUGUGACUGAGAAAUCGAGCACUAAAAAGUUUGGUCUCUGCAACCACGAGGAAGAGUCGUGGCGUUUCCUCCUGAGCGGGAAGCAGCCGGUGAGUGUUGUUUUGUACAGCGGCUCUCCGGUCUUGAUGACCGUUCCCUUCUCCCCAUUGCGGGGAGCUGCGGAGGGAGGAGACGCUGUCUGAGUGGU